GUCAAGUCAUCAUGGCCCUUACGCCCAGGGCGACACACGUGCUACAAUGGCCAGGACAGAGGGCUGCGAAGCGGUAACGUGGAGCGAAUCCCAUAAAGCUGGUCGUAGUCCGGAUCGCAGUCUGCAACUCGGCUGCGUGAAGUCGGAAUCGCUAGUAAUCGUGAAUCAGCGAUGUCACGGUGAAUACGUUCCCGGGUCUU
rnacentral:rRNA from 1 species